rnacentral:rRNA from 1 species
UACGUAGGGCGCAAGCGUUGUCCGGAAUUAUUGGGCGUAAAGAGCUCGUAGGCGGUCUGUCGCGUCUGCCGUGAAAACCCGAGGCUUAACCUCGGGCUGGCGGUGGAUACGGGCAGACUAGAGGUAGGUAGGGGAGAAUGGAAUUCCCGGUGUAGCGGCGAAAUGCGCAGAUAUCGGGAGGAACACCGGUGGCGAAGGCGGUUCUCUGGGCCUUACCUGACGCUGAGGAGCGAAAGCGUGGGGAGCGAACAGG